rnacentral:rRNA from 1 species
CCCUUAGAUGUCCUGGGCCGCACGCGCGCUACACUGACAUGUUCAACAAGCCUCCUAGUUCGACAGGAUUUGGGAAAUCUUUGAACGCAUGUCGUGAUAGGGAUAGAUCAUUGCAAUUAUUGAUCUUGAACGAGGAAUUCCUAGUAAACGCGAGUCAUCAGCUCGCAUUGAUUACGUCCCUGCCCUUUGUGCACACCGCCCGUCGCACCUACCGAUUGAAUGUUUCGGUGAAGAUUCCGGAUAGGACUUUUUUGAUUUAUUUCAAUUCUGUCUUAAAAGCUAUCUAAACCUCAACAUUUAGAGGAAGGUGAAGUCGUAACA